UGUAAGCGUAUACCAAAGUUGUUGCAGUUAAAACGCUCGUAGUCGGAAUUUGGCAGUUCCGGAUGUGUGCACGUCGUGUGCGCACUUCGCGGGGAUUGCUUUUGUGGUCUUGCGUAGGAUGAGGCACUUUUAUUAGUGAACGUCCUCACGCAACCACUUUUUACUGUGAGAAAAUCAGAGUGCUCAAAGCAUGCAUUUGCCGUGAAUGUAUUAGCAUGGAAUAAUAGAAUAGGACUUGGUUCUAUUUUGUUGGUUUGUUGGGACUGAGUAAUGAUUAAGAGGGACAGUUGGGGGCAUUUGUAUUUCGGUGCUAGAGGUGAAAUUCUUAGAUUACCGAAAGACAAACUGCUGCGAAAGCGUCUGCCAAGGAUGUUUUCAUUGA
rnacentral:rRNA from 1 species